CGGCCUUCAACCCCUCACUUCCCUUAAUAUUGUUUGGGUGAAACAUAUUAAAUAAAACAUUUGGAUAAAAUUGCUUGUUUGUCUUUUUCAACUCAUGUCGGUCGUAUUGUGAAUUUCAUCGAAUAGCCCGGCGUAUAUCUUCUUACAACAAGAAAUCUGUGAGGUUAUGCUAACUUAAUAUACAACAAACAAGAAUUAUUUACUGACACAUCAAAUAUAUAUCAGCACAUAACUUUGAACCCAUACUAUAAUCUUAUGAUAGACAAUUGAUGGAGAGAAUACAGCAUCAAAAAUGUCCAACCCUU
rnacentral:lncRNA from 1 species